rnacentral:rRNA from 1 species
AGAGUUUGAUCAUGGCUCAGGACGAACGCUGGCGGCGGGCUUAACACAUGCAAGUCGAAGGAGAAGGUAGAAGCUUGCUUUUACUGGAGACUGGCGGACGGGUGAGUAACGCGUAGAUAACCUGCCUAUAGCUGGGGGAUAACACUGCGAAAGUGGUGCUAAUACCGCAUAAUGCAGCGGGGCCGCAUGGCCAUAGUUGUUAAAGGUUUCGGCCGGCUAUAGAUGGGUCUGCGUGCUAUUAGUUAGUUGGUAGGGUAACGGCCUACCAAGGCGAUGAUAGCUAGGGGGUCUGAGAGGAUGAUCCCCCACACUGGGACUGAGACACGGCCCAGACUCCUACGGGAGGCAGCAGUGAGGAAUCUUGCGCAAUGGGCGAAAGCCUGACGCAGCCACGCCGCGUGCCGGAUGAAGGCCCUAUGGGUUGUAAACGGCUUUUACUAGGGAAGAACGAGAGGGUUUCGAUCUUCUGUGACGGUACCUAGUGAAUAAGCACCGGCUAACUCCGUGCCAGCAGCCGCGGUAAUACGGAGGGUGCAAGCGUUGUCCGGAAUCAUUGGGUGUAAAGGGUACGUAGGCGGGAGCCUAAGUCUGGGGUGAAAUCUUGCCGCUUAACGGUAAAAUGGCCCUGGAUACUGGGUUUCUUGAGUGCAGAAGAGGCAGGUGGAAUUCGUGGUGUAGCGGUGAAAUGCUU